AACGAACGCGUGGCGGCGUGACUUAACACAUGACAAGUACGAACGACGGAAAGGGACGUUCGGUCCUGAAGUAAGUGGCGCGACGGGUGAGUAACGCGUAGAUAACCUGUCUUCAUGUCUGGAAUAAUACGCCGAAAGGGGUACUAAUACCGGAUAUUCUUGCUUUUCAUAAGUUAUGCAAGCAAAGGUGGCCUCUGCAUAUGCUACUGCAUGAAGAGGGGUCUGCGUACCAUUAGCUAGUAGGUGGGGUAAUGGCCUACCUAGGCGACGAUGGUUAGCGGGUCUGAGAGGAUGAUCCGCCACACUGGCACUGGAACACGGGCCAGACUCCUACGGGAGGCAGCAGUGAGGAAUAUUGCGCAAUGGGGGAAACCCUGACGCAGCGACGCCGCGUGAGUGAAGGAAGGCCUUCGGGUCGUAAAGCUCUGUCAAGAGGAAAGAAGUGUACAAUGGCUAAUACCUGUUGUAUUUGACGGUACCUCUAAAGGAAGCACCGGCUAACUCCGUGCCAGCAGCAGC
rnacentral:rRNA from 1 species